GACACGAUGGCCGAGUGGUCUAAGGCGGUAGAUUUAAGCUUUUGAUGAACGCAAGACGCUCAAAUCUCUACUACAGAAAUGUGCGUGGGUUCGAACCCCACUCGUGUCA